rnacentral:rRNA from 1 species
GAUGAACGCUGGCGGCGCGCCUAACACAUGCAAGUCGAACGGUUAAAGCACCUUUUAGGUGUGUAUAAAGUGGCGAACGGCUGAGUAACACGUGGGCAACCUGCCCUCCUCUUGGGGAUAGCCUCGGGCAACCGAGGAUAAUACACGAUACUUCAAUGUGGCCGCAUGACGACAUUGAGAAAGCUUUUGCGGAGAUGGAUGGGCCCGCGGCCUGUUAGCUUGUUGGUGGGGUAGAGGCCUACCAAGGCAAUGAUGGGUAGCUGGGUUGAGAGACCGACCAGCCAGAUUGGGACUGAGACACGGCCCAGACUCCUACGGGAGGCAGCAGUGGGGAAUAUUGCACAAUGGGCGGAGGCCUGAUGCAGCGACGCCGCGUGCGGGACGAAGGCCUUCGGGUUGUAAACCGCUUUCAGCAGGGACGAGGCGAUAAGUGACGGUACCUGCAGAAGAAGCCCCGGCUAACUACGUG